rnacentral:rRNA from 1 species
GACGAACGCUGGCGGCGUGCUUAACACAUGCAAGUCGAACGGUGAAGGGACCGGUUUUUGCUGGUUCUGGAUGAGUGGCGAACGGGUGAGUAACACGUGAGUAACCUGCCCCCUUCUUCUGGAUAACCGCAUAAAAGUGUGGCUAAUACGGGAUAUUCUGCGCCUGCUGCAUGGUGGGUGUGGGAAAGAUAUUGUUUCGGUGGGGGAUGGGCUCGCGGCCUAUCAGCUUGUUGGUGGGGUGAUGGCCUACCAAGGCGGUGACGGGUAGCCGGCCUGAGAGGGUGGACGGUCACACUGGGACUGAGACACGGCCCAGACUCCUACGGGAGGCAGCAGUGGGGAAUAUUGCACAAUGGGCGCAAGCCUGAUGCAGCGACGCCGCGUGAGGGAUGGAGGCCUUCGGGUUGUAAACCUCUUUCGCCAGUGAAGCAGGCCUGUCCCUUUUGUGGGUGGGUUGACGGUAGCUGGAGAAGAAGCGCCGGCUAACUACGUG